UCCUUGGGCUCCUCAGUGCAGUCUCACACCAAAGGAAUCUGGAUGUGGUGUCUGCCUCAUCCCCAGAAGGCAGAGCUCACCCUGGUUCUGCUUGACACGGAGGGCCUGGGCGAUGUUGAGAAAGGUGACAGUGAGAAUGACAGCUGGAUCUUCGCCCUGGCUAUCCUUCUCAGCAGCACCUUCAUCUACAACAGCAUGGGGGCCAUCAACCAGCAGGCCAUGGACCAGCUGCAAUACGUGACAGAGCUGACAGAGAGGAUCAGGAGCACAUCCCCAGCUCAGAGCAGUGGUGCUGAGGAUUCGGAGGAGUUUGUGAACUUCUUCCCUGACUUUGUGUGGGCUCUGAGGGAUGUGACUGUGCGGCUGGAUGCAGAUGGACAAGCCCUCUCAGCGGAUCAGUACCUAGAGAAUUCCCUGAAGCUCAAGCAAGGUGAUAACAAUUACAACUUGUCCCGACUCUGUAUCCGAAAGUUCUUCCCCAAGAAGAAGUGCUUUGUCUUCUGUCCACCCACAGAGUGGAGGAAGCUCUCUAAGCUCGAGAGCCUGCAGGACAAUGAGUUGGAUUCUGACUUUGUGCGGCAGGUGGCAGAGUUCUGUUCCUUUGUGCUCAGUUCUUCCAAGGCUAAAGCUCUCCCGGGAGGCAUUGAAGUCAAUGGAGCCCGACUAGAGAUACUGGUGCUCACAUACCUCAAUGCCAUCAACAGUGGGACUCUGCCCUGCGUGGAGAAUGCUGUCCUGGCCUUGUCCCAGAUAGAGAACUCGGCUGCCGUGCAGAAGGCCAUCACCCACUAUAACCAGCAGAUGAGCCAGAGGGUGCAGCUGCCCACAGAGACCCUCCAGGAGCUGCUGGACCUGCACAGGGCCUGUGAGAGAGAGGCCAUGGACAUCUUCCUCAGGAACGCCUUUAAAGACGAAGACCAUUCAUUUAAAAAAGAGCUAUUGGCACAGCUGGAAAGGAGGUGGGAUGGCGCCUAUAAGGAGAAUGUGAGAGCAUCAUCAGCUCGGUGCUCAGAGUUACUGCGGAACAUCUUCAGCCCUCUAGAAGAAGCAAUGGCAAGGGGUGCUUAUUCUCAGCCAGGAGGAUAUCUUCUCUUUGUGGAGAAGAGAGAGGAGCUGAAGCAAAAGUACCUCAGGGAACCCAGGAAGGGGAUCCAGGCUGAGGAGAUUCUGCAGGCAUACUUGCAGUCCAGUGAGGCUAUGGCCGAGGCAAUUCUACAGAGAGACCAGGCUCUGACAGUAAAACAAAAGGAGAUUGAAGUGGAGCGAGCAAAAGCUGACUCUGCACAGGCUGCUGUGAAAACGUUGGAGGAAAUGAAAGAGAGGCAUGCGCAGAUGAUGAUGGAGAAAGAAAGGUGUCAUCAGGAACGAGUGAGACAGUUGACUGAGAAGAUGAAGAGGGAGAGAGCUCAGUUUUUGCAGGAGCAAGAGAGGGUUCUGGCCCUUAAACUGCAGGAACAGGAAGAACUGAUCAAGAAGGGGUGGAAAGAAGAGAGUAUAAGACUGCAGAAUGAAAUUCAGGCUCUGGAGAAGAGAAAUAGAGAAAGAGUACAGGAAGAAGCUGAAUCUGCCCAGGCUGUCUUGAAAAUGUUGGAGGAUAAGUACAAGAUGGGACAUAACACAAUAGCACAGGAAGGAGAGCCUCACUGGGGACACAUGAAGCAAUUAUCGAAGGAGAAGCAAGAGUUUCUUGAAUGUCAGAAUGAAACAGGAAACUUUUCAUGGUACUUAGAGAUAAGAUGAAAUUAAUUUGAUUCUGAACAAAUACUGGACAUUAAACAAAUCCAGUCUAAAACUGAUGUGAAGUUCAAGAGUCAGCUCAUACUGCAAAGGUUGCCAUGGCACCAGGGACCAUGGAGGCCCCCCCCUGUGUCUGAUAGAAAAUAAGAACAAGCAGUUCCUGGUGAAUCCAAGAGCCAUCCAUAUUCUUAAAGCUAUUUCUCAGCCUGUGGUGGUGGUGGCUAUUGUGGGAAUGUACCGCACAGGAAAAUCAUACCUGAUGAACUGCCUGGCGGGUCAGAACCACGGUGAGUGCUUUCCUGGGCAGAGUGCAACUGUUCAUCUCCUUAUGCCUCAGGCAAUUACUGUGCUAGAAAGCCAACCUAUCUUAAGAGCAAAAGUAAUUCUUAACUUUGAGCUAAUUACAGUCAUCCAUUCCUUUUUCCUGUUUUUACUUCUGUUAAAAAUACAAAAAGGAUACUGUUGCCUACUGAGCUAAAGAAAACCUUCAAAAGGCAGGACAUUAUCAAGGCUAAAGAGAGUAAGAACAAGAAGACAGAGGAGAGGAGGAUAACAGGGAAGGGGGGAAAGGAAGAUGAGAGAAAAAUGCUGAUGCUGAAUAAAAUGGGUCUAGUGCAUUUUUUGUCUUUACAGCAUUGAACAUCUCAUUGUCACUCCUUUCAAAGAAGAUAAUUUUAAAUAUAAGACUUGUAAGACUUGAUUUUUCUUGAACAGUGUCUCUAUUUCUUUAGUUAAUAACAUUUGGCUGAAAAUUUCUAUGGAUAUCCCUGUUCUUGGGUUGGUAAAAUAUGGAAGAGAGGGGUUCAGACUGAAUUGAAAGUUAAAGCAAGAUGUCUCUAUACAGCAUUGACCAGUCAUAUAUGAGGUUGUCAUUAAUAAAACUUGUGCAAGUUAAAAAACAAAAACAAACACAAAAACAAAAAAACAAAAACAAAACAAUAUAGCUCGUGCUUCUCCUCGGGAUCCCACACAACUUUCUCUUACCUGAUGGCCGUAGUUGUAUCUCUUCUCUUCUGAGAAGGGCAUUGUUUUCUGUGUGGAAUGUGCCCAGCACAUUAAGGUGACUUUGUUAUCUAAAACGCAAGAAUCCUCCUGGAUUUAACAUUAUACCAUGAGUACCCCAUACCUCAUUUACCAGUUUUGAAAGUAAAAUUCUCUUCUUUCCAUUCCUUGUCUAUACCCUCAUAACCUUUAUAUGUUUCAAGUCACCUAACUUCUAUUUCAUUUGAAAAUUUAAUUUACCCAUUUAUUUACAUAUGCAUUUCUUUUCUGAGUCUAGUUUCAGAUAUCCCAGGCGGGCCUUGAACUCACUAUGUAACUGAAGAUGAUGCUGAAUUGAUCCUCCGGGCUCUACUACCCCCCUCUCUAUAUAUAUGUAUACAUACAUCUAUACA